rnacentral:lncRNA from 1 species
UUUAUUUUUUAUUUUGGUCAAAGGUAAGUUUUAUUACCAACAAUAAAAAAUUACACAACAAAGGCCCAAAUAUAAGUAAGCACAAAGCAAAAGCGAACCUUCCAAGCUAAACAACAAGAGGCCAAACAAUGUUGAAGCCCAAAACUAGAAACAAAUUGAAAGAAAAAUCGUGAAUUCUGCUACCACCGUUGCUACAACACUACAUCUCGAUCAGUCACCAAUUGAAAGAAGCCAGUGGGAUUGCCACGAGUGACACUGAUAACAAACGCAAGCAGAGAGAAGGUGGUGGUGUGGACACCCGAGCCUGUGUGAAGACUGAAAUUCUUCAUACAUUUUGUCGGUAAAUGUCUUGGUAGAAGAUAUGAUUUCUUAAAAUUGAGGUUUAUUCAUUUUUAACUACGUACAUAACAAGAAAUUUUCUUACCUGUCUAAUUUCUAAUGAUUAACCGAAACAAAUUUCGGUGAAGGGUAAUUGCAGAUCGAUUUGAGAUGUGAUAAAUGAAGGACGGAGGCAAGUACGAGGGGUGGAGAAAUAAGUGUAUGACAAGACAAUGUCAGAAUUGUGGAUAAGGAACAUGGGGAUGGGAUAACAAGGGUUAGAAGAAAGAGAAGGUCAAACCUGAAGGCAUAGUCUAGUAAGAUCUACGGCUAUUAGGGUUGAAGAACAAGGUAGAUCGGAAGGGAAACCAUUCACACCACUGUGAGUUUAAAAACUCUCACAAAGAGAGAGAGUCUCUCACACGCAGAGAAGGUAGAUGCCUUUGAUUUUUAAGUAUUUGGUUUCUUUUACAUUUAUGUAUUGUUUUUAAAUUUUACGUAUUUUAGUAUAAAAUAGUAGUUUAAUUAACAAUACAUUGUAGUUGAAUGUGUAAGUAAUGUACUAUAGUAUUUCUUAGGAUGCUAAAAGGUAAUAAAAUAUUGAGAGGAAUAAAAUGUAGUCCCAUGAACAUUAUUGUCCGUCAAUAUUCCUUGAAAAUUAUCUUUUUGUGUUGUAUUUAAGAACGUUGGCAAAAUAUAACCAAACCAUUAGAGAUGGCCUUAGACGUGUUAGUUUGAAUUGUUGUGCUUUGAAGACAAAAUAAAUUGCUGGUGCUUAGGGGUGGGCACGGGCCCAAAUUUUGAGGAACCGCACCUUACCCGGCUCGUUUGAAACAAGCUAGGUCCACGGGCCCAAUAUCGUUGACAUCGCCAGAGCUCACCGGAUUCUGCA